AUGAUUAUCGUCUGGGAGCAGCAGUGUUCAACUGUGAAUUUUGUAGGCUAUCUCCAAAAUACCCCUUGCCCUGUGAAGAUGCUGACAGAGAUAACAGUGGAGCUCCAAUAUGGUAAAGGAUGGUUAUCUUGGAGAAGAUAUUUGAUGUUGGUGUUGAAGAAAGUUCAGCAAUGGCUUGGCUAUGAAAUGAGAUGAAGAGUUCUGGAAGCCUGUGUAGAAAGGCUCAUAGAAGAAAGCAGGUGAGACUUUACUAAAAUACAUAAGGAGUAAUAUUUUUUUUUUCAAAAAGGGUAGUUCUGUAUAAUGUAAUUUUAGGGGGAGUCUGGGUGAAGGGUAUGUGGAACCUCUCUGUACUAUGUAGAUACUUGUGAGUCAAUAAUUAUUUCAAAAUAAAAAGUUAAAGCAAAUUUUAAAAGAUAAAACA
rnacentral:lncRNA from 1 species